GAUGAAGAACGCAGUGAAAUGCGAUAAGUAAUGUGAAUUGCAGAAUUCAGUGAAUCAUCGAAUCUUUGAACGCACAUUGCGCCCCUUGGUAUUCCGAGGGGCAUGCCUGUUCGAGCGUCAUUAUAACCCCUCAAGCUCAGCUUGGUGUUGGGGCCUGCCGCACGGGCAGCCCUUAAAAUCAGUGGCGGUGCCAUCUGGCUCUAAGCGUAGUAAUUCUUCUCGCUAUAGAGUCCCGGUGGAUGCUUUCCAUUAACCCCCAAUUUUCUAUGGUUGACCUCGGAUCAGGUAGGGAUACCCGCUGAACUUAAGCAUAUCAAUAAGCGGAGGA
rnacentral:misc_RNA from 1 species